rnacentral:tRNA from 1 species
GGUUGUUUAGUUUAAUUAAAAUAAAUGUUUUGAAAACAUUAGAUAAGAAAAAUUUCUUAAUAAUUA